GGGUUGUGAGGUUAAGCGACUAAGCGUACACGGUGGAUGCCCUGGCAGUCAGAGGCGAUGAAGGGCGUGCUAAUCUGCGAUAAGCGCCGGUAAGGUGAUAUGAACCGUUAUAACCGGCGAUACCCGAAUGGGGAAACCCAGUGUGAUUCGUCACACUAUCAUUAACUGAAUCCAUAGGUUAAUGAGGCGAACCGGGGGAACUGAAACAUCUAAGUACCCCGAGGAAAAGAAAUCAACCGAGAUUCCCCCAGUAGCGGCGAGCGAACGGGGAGGAGCCCAGAGCCUGAAUCAGCAUGUGUGUUAGUGGAAGCGUCUGGAAAGGCGCGCGAUACAGGGUGACAGCCCCGUACACAAAAGCGCAUGUGCUGUGAGCUCGAUGAGUAGGGCGGGACACGUGGUAUCCUGUCUGAAUAUGGGGGGACCAUCCUCCAAGGCUAAAUACUCCUGACUGACCGAUAGUGAACCAGUACCGUGAGGGAAAGGCGAAAAGAACCCCGGCGAGGGGAGUGAAAAAGAACCUGAAACCGUGUACGUACAAGCAGUGGGAGCCCCACCACUAAGCCAGUGGUGAACUCCACAUACGCAUCCUUUGCUGAGGAUACGGUUAACGGAGCGAAAGCGACGUUCAACCUCAAAAGAAGCAGAGGGGGCUUAGUGGUGG
rnacentral:rRNA from 2 species